rnacentral:lncRNA from 8 species
AUGUAUAAAACACACACACACACACACACACACACACACACACACACACACACACACACACACACACACACACACACACACACACACACACACACACACACACACACACACAAGAGAUUAAAGGGAAAAGGAGAGAAAAAAACAACACAUUCUCUUGACCUGUUAAACCAUCUAUGUUCUCUGGUCCUGUUGUGUCUCUGGGGAUGUCACUCUCACAGACACUCCUGUUACCCACUCCAAGAGGAUGUCACUCUCACAGACACUCCUGUUACCCACUCCAAGAGGAUGUCACUCUCACAGACACUCCUGUUACCCACUCCAAGAGGGUGUCACUCUCACAGACACUCAUGUUACCCACUCCAAGAGGAUGUCACUCUCACAGACACUCCUGUUACCCACUCCAAGAGCAUGUCACUCUCACAAACACUCCUGUUACCCACUCCAAGAGGAUGUCACUCUCACAGACACUUCUGUUACCCACUCCAAGAGGAUGUCACUCUCACAGACACUCCUGUUACCCACUCCAAGAGGAUGUCACUCUCACAGACACUCCUGUUAACCACUCCAAGAGGAUGUCACUCUCACAGACACUCCUGUUACCCACUCCAAGAGGAUGUCACUCUCACAGACACUCCUGUUACCCACUCCAAGAGGAUGUCACUCUCACAGACACUCCUGUUACCCACUCCAAGAGGGUGUCACUCUCACAGACACUCAUGUUACCCACUCCAAGAGGAUGUCACUCUCACAGACACUCCUGUUACCCACUCCAAGAGCAUGUCACUCUCACAAACACUCCUGUUACCCACUCCACGAGGAUGUCAUUCUCACAAACACUCCUGUUACCCACUCCAAGAGGAUGUCAUUCUCACAAACACUCCUGUUACCCACUCCAAGAGGAUGUCACUCUCACAGACACUCCUGUUACCCACUCCAAGAGGAUGUCACUCUCACAGACACUCCUGUUACCCACUCCAAGAGGAUGUCACUCUCACAGACACUCCUGUUACCCACUCCAAGAGGAUAUCACUCUCACAGACACUCCUGUUACCCACUCCAAGAGGAUGUCACUCUCACAGACACUCCUGUUACCCACUCCAAGAGGAUAUCACUCUCACAGACACUCCUGUUACCCACUCCAAGAGGAUGUCACUCUCACAGACACUCCUGUUACCCACUCCAAGAGGAUAUCACUCUCACAGACACUCCUGUUACCCACUCCAAGAGGAUAUCACUCUCACAGACACUCCUGUUACCCACUCCAAGAGGACUGUCUGUCCUCAUACGUGUCUCUUGUAUUCAGUCAGUUAA